UACGUAGGUUGCAAGCGUUGUCCGGAAUUACUGGGUGUAAAGGGCGUGUAGGCGGAGAUGCAAGUUGGGAGUGAAAUCCCGGGGCUCAACCCCGGAACUGCUUUCAAAACUGUAUCCCUUGAGUGUCGGAGAGGCAAGCGGAAUUCCUAGUGUAGCGGUGAAAUGCGUAGAUAUUAGGAGGAACACCAGUGGCGAAGGCGGCUUGCUGGACGAUAACUGACGCUGAGGCGCGAAAGCGUGGGGAGCAAACAGG
rnacentral:rRNA from 2 species